rnacentral:rRNA from 1 species
CCUACGGGUGGCUGCAGUGAGGAAUAUUGGUCAAUGGCCGGAAGGCUGAACCAGCCAAGCCGCGUGAAGGACGAAGGUGCCAAGCAUUGUAAACUUCUUUUGUCAAGGGACAAAAUCAGGCUCGAGAGCCUGACCGAGGGUACUUGAAGAAAAAGCAUCGGCUAACUCCGUGCCAGCAGCCGCGGUAAUACGGAGGGAGCGAGCGUUGUCCGGAAUUACUGGGGGUAAAGGGAGCGUAGGCGGGACUGCAAGUUGGGUGUCAAAUCUACCGGCGAAACCGGUAGCCGCACUCAAAACUGCAGUUCUUGAGUGAAGUAGAGGCAGGCGGAAUUCCUAGUGUAGCGGUGAAAUGCGUAGAUAUUAGGAGGAACACCAGUGGCGAAGGCGGCCUGCUGGGCUUUUACUGACGCUGAGGCUCGAAAGUGUGGGGAGCAAACAGGAUUAGAUACCCCAGUAGUC